UAAUUUUUCUAAUCAAGCAAUCAAUCCUAAUUCAAUUCUACUUUUGUUCACGAGGUGUCAACUCAGUGGUAAGAGUUUAACCUUGUAACCUCAACACACAAAAUGAAAAGAAGAAAAAAACUUUGCUUCUAGAAAUUCCUUGAAAAAAUUGAUCUUUAGGAUCAAUUCGAAAAUUUCAUUUUUAGGGAAAUCACAAACCUAGUUUCUUAGUGAAAAUUAACAAAGUAGACAAUUCCAAAUUUGUAAUAAUGAAUAGUCAGAAAAUCAAACUUAACAGAUUCAUCAGAAUUCAGAGCAACAAUGUAAAAUUAAGAAGAAACUUCAAUCAAAGAGUUCCACCUACAACUCUGAAAAAUCUCAAGUACAUUUCAAUUCUCUUAUAUAGAGACAAAUUGUGUACAUGAGCAAAAAACUUGAUUUUUUUUCUUUUUCUUUUUCUUUUUCAAGUUACAUGAUGUAUGAAAUAUGAAUAAUUAGGUGCUUUAUUAUAGUGGGAAUAAUAAUGAGUAUCUAAAGAAAAAAAAAAUGAUGUAAAUUAGAUAUAGGUUUCUGGUUUACUUACAAUAUGAUGAAUUUGGAUGCAGAAAGUGUGAUAGAAAGAACCCUUUUUUCAACUCUCUUUAAUUAAUAAUAAUCUGCUUAAUCAUUCACCAAUUGAUAACAACGUUGAUAAGAGCUACUCUGUGCAUAGUGUAAACUC
rnacentral:lncRNA from 1 species